AGGUUGGUUCUGUCACACCAGCUGAAGACUUUAAGAACCUGGUAGCUUUGCCAAACACUCAGUUUAGUGAUAUAUGCAAACAACUGGGAAAGGUGAUCCUCCAGUUAGUGACAGAUCCACUUGCAAAUACAUUAUACACCAAAACUUUGGGCUGUCUGAAGAUAUACAGAGAAGAAUCUGUUAAGAAGAAUCAGGCUGAACUCUUCAACUCAUUUUUACAAGACCUGAAAUCCUCACUUAGAGCUAAAGACAAAGAACUGUGGGAUAGAAUUGUAACCGAAAAACUGAGCCUUAUAAGCCAGGAAGAGUGUUCAUCAAGUAAAAUAUCUGUUGAUGAACAGAUUAACUUUCUUACAACUAAGGAGGAUUCAGUGAGCCAAGAAGAGAAAAAGGAAGAAACAGAUGAAGAUGAGGAAGAUCUGCUUGCCAUGAUGUGAGAAGGCCAUCUGAAACCAUCUAGUCGAGUCUUUUUCAUUUAAGCCAAAGUAUUUGGAUGAUUUGUUGUAAAGAAAUUAAUUGAUUUAUUUAAUAAAUUUAAAAGGAAUUGGAUUUUAUUAAGCAAUCUCACAAAUAGAGUGGAGAUUAUAUAACAUUUUAUAAAGUUUUUUUUUAACCACAUAAAAUCAUUAUCUGUGUAAGGGUAAUUAGGCAACAUGAUUUUUCAUUUGUGCUUUACUGGUAAUAAAAAGUUCAAUUUAU